CAUCCAAGGAAGAAGCACCCCGGGGAGUGCCCUCCACAGCAGAGUGGCAGGUGGUCCCCUCCAGAACCAGGGCUGCUCGCAGCAGAGCAGUACCAGUUCCUCCAGUUUGGCUGGAGAACAGGUACAAUGCCCUGGCGACACCGCAGGAGAAGGAAGGAGAGGAGGAAACCUCCGGAGAGGAGGCAACUCCACACUCUCCACACUCUGAACAGGCUGAAGGAGCUAAGCAGAACCAGAGGAGGAAAUGUGAGUGGACGUGGAAGACAACAUGAGACCUGCAUCAGAGAGGUCAAUUUGCCGCUUCGGGAAUGGUGUCUCGAGGCAGGCUUCGGCUUCCUAGACAACGACCCACACAUCAGGACGAGACAUGCUCAGGUGGGAUGGGCUUCCCCUUUCCCCCAAAGGUAAGUGUGUGUUCUCUUCUAGGUUGGCUGAUCUCCUCUGGCGGGCUUUAAACUAGGCUCAUCGGGGGAAGGGGAAGACGAGGGCAGAGGAAGCCUUGGACCACUAAACCAAGCAUCACCCACAAGAACAGCCCAGCCUAGACCGACAAUGAGCAGAACAAAUAGCCAGGUAAGCAACAGGAGCCUGGGUAGUACUGAGAUUAGGAGGCCAGUGCAUGCAUCUUCAGGAGGCCUCAACUGCCUCUACACUAAUGCUUGUAGUAUGGGAAACAAGCAGGAGGAACUUACCCUCCUGCUAGCUAACACCAACCCAGACAUAGUGGGGCUCACUCAAACGUGGUGGGACCCAACACAUGACUGGACGGUGAAUAUUAAGGGCUACAGGCUGUACAGGAGGGAUAGGACAGGGAGGAAAGGUGGGGAUGUGGCGUUCUAUGUCAAGGAGAAAUACACAUCCUCAGUGAGUAGCACUGGGUAAGAGGAGGGGCACACUGAAGUGCUCUGGGUUAGAAUACAAGGAAGUCAAGGAGAAAGGGACUUAACGGUGGGGGUCUAUUACAGACCACCCAACCAAGGGGAAGAGCUAGACCGGGAAUUCUUAAGUCAGCUCAUGGAGGUAGUUAUGUUAAAGGAUGUGGUCAUCAUGGGUGACCUGAACUUUCCAGACAUCUGCUGGGAAGAGCAGUCAGCCAGGUCUGACCACUCACGUAGGUUCCUAGCCGGGAUACAGGACCUCCAUCUAACCCAGGGAGGUUCAUAGCCCCACCAGGAGAGAUGUCUUGUUGGAUCUGGUCCUGGCCACAGGCAAUGACCUGGUGAGGGGUCUGCGGGUGCUUGACCACCUGGGUGACAGUAAUCAUCGUCCGGUGGAAUUCACCAUCCAGCGCAAGGUGGCAAAAGCCUGCAGCAAGGCAGCAGCCUUGGACUUCAGGAGGGUGGAUUUCAAUGAGGUAAGGAGAAUAGUCGGGGAGGCACUGAGGUCCCUGAGGGAAGGGGAGUCAGGUGUCCAAGAAGAGUGGUUGUUCCUUAAGGAGACGAUCCUCCAAGCCCAAGGAGAGGUAAUCCCAACACGGAUCAAAGGGGGCAAGAGGGCGUAAAAGCCCCCAUGGCUCAUCAAAGCAUAUGGGAACAUCUCCUAGCUAAAAAGGAGGCAUACACCCAAUGGAAGGGAGGGGCCAUCACCAGGGAGGACUAUACUUCAGUUGCUCGGGGCUGUAGCAGGGCAGUCAGGAAGGCCAAGGCGGAGAUGGAACUGGGGCUAGCUACCCAGAUCAAGGACAACAAGAAGUCCUUUUUUAAAUACAUAGAGGAUAAAAAGAAGGUACCAGGUAAUGUGGGGCCUCUGCAGGACAUGCUAGAAAAUCUGGUCAUCGCACCAGACAGCAAAACUAACCUAUUUAACAAUUUCUUUGCCUCCAUUUUUCUGAGCAGGGACCGGGUCACCCCCUCCCAGCGGGACCCCUGUAGGACCCAGAGGAGGCGCACCCAGGCCUAGGGUCAGUGAGGACCUAGUCAGGGAACUUCUGGAGGGACUGGACAUAUUUAAAUCAGCAGGUCCGGACGAUCUCCACCCUAGAGUGCUGAGGGAAUUAGCAGAAAUCAUUGUGGGACCCCUGGCAUAGCUUUAUGAGCACUCAUGGUGCUCUGAUGCAGUGCCAGAGGAUUGGAAAAGGACCAAUGUGGCUCCCAUUUUCAAAAAAGGGAGGAAGGAGGACCCAGGAAACUAUAGGCCAGUUAGUCUUACCUUGGUCCUGGGUAAGCUUUUUGAGAGAGUUAUCUUGGCACAUGUCCACGAGGGGCCAGCAGGGGAGAUUAUGCUUAGGGGCAACCAACAUGGGUUCAUUAGAGUCAGGUCCUGUCAGACCAACCUGGUGGCCUUCCAUGACCAGGUCACAAAAUCCUUAGAUGCAGGGGUAGCAGUGGACAUAGUCUUUCUGGACUUUAGGAAGGCCUUCGACACUCUCUCACCCCAUUCUCAUUUAAAAACUAGGAGACUGUGGCGUCAACUGUGACAGCUGAAAUUAUGUCUGUGUGAUAAAGGUGCUUGCUGAAGGCUCUAUGAAGAUUAGACCAAGAGUUUUUCUGUAUUUGUUUAAAUAUUAAGCUAUAUGUUGUUGCUAAAAGCCUAAUUAAAGUUUAAGAUGUAGUAAGGCCUUGUAUAUGUGAUAAAGAAAAAAAAUAUAUAAAUGACCAAACGCCAAACAUGAGAGCAAGUUGUGCUCGUGGCGUGGGGGAAGUAAUGGGAGCGGCCUGAUAGCCGCGAGAUCGGCAGUCCCGGCCCACGCUGAUUGGCAGGGGGAGGGUGGAUACAGCCCGUUUAAAAGAAAAAGCGCUUGCCAAAAACCUGGGACCCGCGCCAUAUCGGAGAGGCCUGAUCACCCUCACCGGAGGUCCUGCGUCCAUGAAAUCCCUUCCCCCUGGACGCCCCCAUCACGACCAAGUAUACCAUUCGAACGUGUUUAGAGCUCUUGAGUUAACAGCGAGUUUAAUCUUGAAACUGCUGUAAAGGAAACCACCUAUACGAAAGUGUGAGUAAAGCAUUUAUUUGUUA